GAGGAAUAUUGGUCAAUGGACGCAAGUCUGAACCAGCCAUGCCGCGUGCAGGAAGACGGUCCUAUGGAUUGUAAACUGCUUUUGUACGGGAAGAAACACUCCUACGUGUAGGAGCCUGACGGUACCGUAAGAAUAAGGAUCGGCUAACUCCGUGCCAGCAGCCGCGGUAAUACGGAGGAUCCAAGCGUUAUCCGGAAUCAUUGGGUUUAAAGGGUGCGCAGGCGGGCUUUUAAGUCAGCGGUGAAAUCUGGACGCUUAACGUCCAAACUGCCGUUGAAACUGGGAGUCUUGAGUAUGGAUGAAGUAGGCGGAAUUCGUUGUGUAGCGGUGACAUGCAUAGAUAUAACGAGGAACUCCGAUUGCGUAGGCAGCUUACUAAGCCAUAACUGACGCUCAUGCACGAAAGCGUGGGGAUCAAACA
rnacentral:rRNA from 1 species